AGCAGCCGCGGUAAUUCCAGCUCCAAUAGCGUAUAUUAAAGUUGUUGCAGUUAAAAAGCUCGUAGUUGAAUUUCGGGACUAAUAUGUCGGUCGUACUUUGUACGUACUAGCAUUAUUGGUUUCUCCCUUCUGACGAACCACGAUGUCAUUAAUUUGGUGUCAUGGGAAAUCAGGACUGUUACUUUGAAAAAAUUAGAGUGUUUAAAGCAAGCUCGCGCUUGAAUACAUUAGCAUGGAAUAAUGAAAUAGGACGUUUGAUUCUAUUUUGUUGGUUUCUAGGAUCGACGUAAUGAUUAAUAGGGAUAGUUGGGGGCAUUAGUAUUCAAUUGUCAGAGGUGAAAUUCUUGGAUUUAUUGAAGACUAACUACUGCGAAAGCAUUUGCCAAGGAUGUUUUCAUUAAUCAAGAACGAAAGUUAGGGGAUCGAAGACGAUCAGAUACCGUCGUAGUCUUAACCAUGAACUAUGCCGACUAGGGAUCGGAUGAUGUUAAUUUUUAAUGACUCAUUCGGCGCCUUAAC
rnacentral:rRNA from 1 species